AUUGAACGCUGGCGGCAGGCCUAACACAUGCAAGUCGAGCGCGCGGCGGACGGGUGAGUAAUGUCUGGGAAACUGCCUGAUGGAGAGGGAUAACUCCUGGAAACGCUAGCUCAUACCGCAUACCAUCAGAUGUGCCCAUAUGGGAUUAGCUAGGAGGUGGGGUAACGGCUCACCUCGGCGACGAUCCCUAGCUGGUCUGAGAGGAUGACCAGCCAAACUGGAACUGAGAAACGGUCCAGACUCCUACGGGAGGCAGCAGUGGGGAAUAUUGAACAAUGGGCGCAAGCCUGAUGCAGCCAUGCCGCGUGUGUGAAGAAGGCCUUCGGGUUGGAAAGUUCUUUCAGUAGGGAGGCGUUACCUGCAGAAGAAGCACCGGCUAACUCCGUGCCAGCAGCCGCGGUAAUUC
rnacentral:rRNA from 1 species